rnacentral:rRNA from 1 species
UUGCCUUAGUAACGGCGAGUGAACAGGCAAGAGCUCAGAUUUGAAAGCCUUUUUGGCAUUGUAUUCUGAAGUAUUUAUCCUGAGUAAUGAUGUCUAAGUCUUCUGGAAAGGAGCGCCAUGGAGGGUGAUAGCCCCGUGUGACAUCCCACUCAUUGUAGGAUUUAUACGUGGAGUCGAGUUGUUUGGGAAUGCAGCUCAAACGGGUGGUAUGCUCCAUCUAAAGCUAAAUAUCUGUGAGAGACCGAUAGCGAACAAGUACUGUGAAGGAAAGAUGAAAAGAACUUUGAAAAGAGAGUGAAAAAGUACGUGAAAUUGUUGAAAUGGAAGGGUAGGCCGCUAACCAUGUAGAACCGUGUUUGGGGGGAAGAUAAAAGCUGAAGAAUGUGGCUCCUCGGAGUGUUAUAGCUUCAGUCAAUAUUCCCAUCCGAGCGCGAGGAUCUCA